rnacentral:rRNA from 1 species
UCUUGGUCAUUUUAGAGGAAGUAAAAGUCGUAACAAGGUUUCCGUAGGUGAACCUGCGGAAGGAUCAUUACAAAUGACUGGGAUGUCCUAUCGGACCCCCAAGCAAACACAUCUAUGUGUACUCUGCCAUGUUGCUUCCCCAGACCAGUGGCCACUGCUGCCAGCCCAGCCCCUAAUGGGUUCCUGGGUUGAGGUGUCUGGGGAAGGGCUCAAUAUCAAACUUUUCAACCUACUAGUCGUCUGAGAAGGCCAUGUGCCGCAAUAUUUAAACAAGUUAAAACUUUCAACAACGGAUCUCUUGGCUCUCGCAUCGAUGAAGAACGCAGCGAAAUGCGAUAAGUAAUGUGAAUUGCAGAAUUCAGUGAAUCAUCGAAUCUUUGAACGCACAUUGCGCCCUUUGGUAUUCCUUAGGGCAUGCCUGUUCGAGCGUCACUAAAAACCGACUCACAUAUCGUGUGGUAUUGGUAGAAGUGGAUAGUACUAACACUACUUUGUCUUACUCUGCUGAAAUGAAUAGGCCAGAAAAGUGGACCAUGGUAAUAGAUUCCAGGAGUGUUUUAAAAUGCUAUACUAGUCUUAUCCAAGUCAUAUUCUGAGCCACUGGACCCCCCAUUUAGUCCAAACAACAGUGGUUGACCUCGGAUCAGGUAGGGAUACCCGCUGAACUUAAGCAUAUCAAUA